rnacentral:rRNA from 1 species
GACGAACGCUGGCGGCGUGCUUAACACAUGCAAGUCGAACGGUAAGGCCCUUCGGGGUACACGAGUGGCGAACGGGUGAGUAACACGUGGGUGAUCUGCCCUGCACUUCGGGAUAAGCUUGGGAAACUGGGUCUAAUACCGGACAGGACAACUGCCUGCAUGGGUGGUGGUGGAUAGCUUUUGCGGUGUGGGAUGGGCCGGCGGCCUAUCAGCUUGUUGGUGGGGUGAUGGCCUACCAAGGCGACGACGGGUAGCCGGCCUGAGAGGGUGACCGGCCAAACUGGGACUGCGAUACGGCCCAGACUCCUACGGGAGGCAGCAGUGGGGAAUAUUGCACAAUGGGCGCAAGCCUGAUGCAGCGACGCCGCGUGAGGGAUGACGGCCUUCGGGUUGUAAACCUCUUUCAGCACCGACGAAGCGCAAGUGACGGUAGGUGCAGAAGAAGGACCGGCCAACUACGUGCCAGCCGCCGCAGUAAUAC